UGGGGAAUAUUGCACAAUGGGCGCAAGCCUGAUGCAGCAACGCCGCGUGAACGAUGAAGGUCUUCGGAUCGUAAAGUUCUGUUGCAGGGGAAGAUAAUGACGGUACCCUGUGAGGAAGCCCCGGCUAACUACGUGCCAGCAGCCGCGGUAAUACGUAGGGGGCUAGCGUUAUCCGGAUUUAUUGGGUUUAAAGGGAGCGUAGGCCGUUUGGUAAGCGUGUUGUGAAAUGUAGGAGCUCAACUUCUAGAUUGCAGCGCGAACUGUCAGACUUGAGUGCGCACAACGUAGGCGGAAUUCAUGGUGUAGCGGUGAAAUGCUUAGAUAUCAUGAAGAACUCCGAUUGCGAAGGCAGCUUACGGGAGCGCAACUGACGCUGAAGCUCGAAGGUGCGGGUAUCGAACAGG
rnacentral:rRNA from 1 species